rnacentral:rRNA from 1 species
GACGAACGCUGGCGGCGUGCUUAACACAUGCAAGUCGAACGGAAAGGCGAUGCGUUUGUGGGUUGCUCGAUUGGCGAACGGGUGAGUAACACGUGAGGAACCUGCCCUUGAAUGUGUGAUAACUUCAGGAAACUGGGGCUAAUACCGGAGAGGAUCUCCUGCUGCGUGGUGGGGGUUGGAGAGUGUCGGCGGUGGUGGAUGGACUCGCUGGUUAUGAGCUGGUUUGUGAGGUAGUGGCUUACAAAGGCUUUGACGGGUAGCCGGCAUGAGAGGGUGACCAGCGACAUUGGGACUGCGGUACGGCGCAGACUGCUACGGGAGGCAGUAGUCGGGAAUAUUGCACAAUGGGCGGAAGCGUGAUGCAGCAACGCCGCGUGCGGGAUGCCGGGCUUCGGGUUGUAAACAGCUUUCGCCUGUGACGAAGCGUGAGUGACGGUAAUGAGUAAAGAAGCACCGGCUAACUACGUG